CAGGGAGACAACAAAAUGUUUAAUAUUAUUAUUUUGUCACCUUAGGUCGAUCGGUAUCUCACGUUCUUAAUUUAUUAAGAAUUUCAUUUCCUAAGUUUUUCUAGGUCACACCCAUUAUUUUUCCUGGGCCAUUAGCUCAGGUGGUUAGAGCGCACCCCUGAUAAGGGUGAGGUCCCUGGUUCAAGUCCAGGAUGGCCCAUAUCUCUAUGUUGGGGGUAUAGCUCAGUUGGUAGAGCGCCUGCUUUGCAAGCAGGAUGUCAGCGGUUCGAGUCCGCUUACCUCCACUGAUUACCACCUCUUCCAUAAUCUAUAGAAAGGAAAUCUUUUGAGUUGUGAUCAAAUCCUGAACGAAUCUAGCUUCCUAAUGAAAACAUUAAGAUGCUGGACUCAUUGAAUUAUUUUCAAUGUUUUCAGAGAACCUUGACAACUGCAUAGAUUAUUUUUAAAGACAAUAAGCAUUUUUAAUGAUGCAGAUUUAUUAUUUGUGCAAAUGCAUUAAAUAACAAUUCUAUUAAGCUGAUGCUUCAAUUUUGAAGUUAUU
rnacentral:tRNA from 1 species